rnacentral:tRNA from 1 species
GCCGGGCUAGCUCAAUCGGUAGAGCGUGAGACUCUUAAUCUCACGGUUGCGGGUUCGACCCCCGCGUUCGGCU